GAAAUAUAAACCCUAAAAGCUUCUAACUUUUUCCUAUAGUGACCUUUAAUCAUUAAUAUUUCU
rnacentral:tRNA from 1 species